rnacentral:tRNA from 1 species
CUCAAUCGGUAGAGCGUAAGACUCUUAAUCUUAAGGUUGCGGGUUCGACCCCCGC